rnacentral:lncRNA from 1 species
GCCUAGCUGAUUGUCGCAUACCACACCAACGGUCCUCGCGGUCGGUGAUGGAGAUACCGCAAUGUCCUCGACAGUGGCCGAUAAGUCCAUGUGAGGGCAGUGUUUCCCUGGCACAAGAAGGAGCUGAGUCAUGUCGAGGUUGAGCUCCAGGUGAUCGGCCCUCGCCCAAGUGCUGAUGUCUGUCUGCCAGACAUUCUGAGACGCGUGUCGCAAUCGGGUUGCUUUCAGGGGAGGGGAAUAGUUUAGUGUCGUCAGCCCGGCAAUCUGCUCACCACUCUCCAAAGAUGACCCAAUCAUAUCUAGUUUUGAAUCGUACCAAUUUUUAUAAAAUCCUCAUUUAGUGUAUGGUGCGGGUUGAGAAUGUACAUCAAUUUAUUAACUCUUAAUGAUUGAAAGCAUGACUUCGUAGCCGUUUAUAGAAGCCGUCUCACAAAUGUAAUUCACCAAAAAAGGGGAAUUAGUGGUUUCUUAUAAGGGAAGUGUGGCUUCGUUGGCAUUGUUUACUUCCCAUUUCAGGAAGACCUGUCCGGUCAGGGAGAGCUGUCCACCAGCAAUGACAGUCUCUCUGAACAGAAACAACCCAAGGAGAAAGGAGGUGCUUUCAGUGGAAUGUUCAAGAGAUCGAUUAAACAUGACGAACAGUCCCUGAAUGAGCUGGCGUCAAGCAAUGAAGGUCUAUCGGAAAAUAGCAUGGUAAAACGUUUCUUUCAAGGUGUCGUAAAACACAAAAGGUGCAUUAUUUCCUGCGUUGUGGUGCAGGGUAACCCAUCCGUGGUGCUCGCUGCGAUAAUGUCUGUAUAUUUGAAGCUUUAAUGGGCAACAUCCUCCACUUCCUGUUUCAGGGGAAUCUCGCUAGGCAGAAGGAACUUUCAGAGAGCAACGACAGCCUGUCUGACACCAAAAAGACAAAGGUGGGUUAUGUCAUUUCGGGAAUAUCCUUGGAUGACAACUAACUCGUGACUUGUGGAGCGACGUUAAACUGGUUUGAGUUUCUGUCAGCUGCUGUUUGAGCCUCUGCCUGGAAUCAUGGAGGAAUCUUGUUCAGAACAAGAUUCCUCCAUGAUUCAGAACUUGGCCUGGUUCUGUCAGCAGUGU